rnacentral:snRNA from 1 species
UUGCUUUGGUAGCACAUAUACUAAAAUUGGAACAAUGCAGAGAAGAUUAGCAUGGCCCCCGUGCAAGGAUGAUGUGCAAAUUCAUGAAGCUUCCAUAUUUUUA